rnacentral:rRNA from 1 species
UACGGAGGGUGCGAACGUUAAUCGGAAUCACUGGGCGUAAAGCGCGCGUAGGCGGUUUGUUAAGUGGGAUGUGAAAUCCCCGGGCUUAACCUGGGAAUUGCAUUUCAAACUGGCCGACUAGAGUACGGUAGAGGGAGGUAGAAUUUCCUGUGUAGCGGUGAAAUGCGUAGAUAUAGGAAGGAAUACCAGUGGCGAAGGCGGCCUCCUGGAUCGAUACUGACGCUGAGGCGCGAAAGCGUGGGGAGCAAACAGG